AACGACUCUCGGCAACGGAUAUCUCGGCUCUCGCAUCGAUGAAGAACGUAGCGAAAUGCGAUACUUGGUGUGAAUUGCAGAAUCCCGUGAACCAUCGAGUCUUUGAACGCAAGUUGCGCCCGAAGCCUUCCGGCCGAGGGCACGCCUGCCUGGGCGUACGCAA
rnacentral:rRNA from 1 species